AUUUUUUCAGGCUUUGUUGGUUUACUUUCUGGAAUAACUCUUACGAUGCAUGUAGUGAACUGUGCUUACAACCCAUAAAACCAUCAUAUUAUUGUACUAUAAACUUUUAGAUGUGCAUUUACAUUUUACAAUAAGAAAUUAUUGCAUAUUAAGGAAGCAUGCUCCCACUAUGCAUGCUUUGACGUGUGGGGUCCACCACUUUCCACUUUCUGUCUACAGGGAGUAUAAUUCCUGCCCUACACAAUGAUUUCCCAUAUAAAAUAUUUGAUAUUGCCUACAUGUCCUAGAAACUUAUUCUUGAAGUUAUGGAAACAUGGAAGAAUAGUAUAGAAGGAAGGAAAAACUAUAAACAUAAAAUGAGAAGCAGAAAAGAUAAAUUACGCAGGGAAAAUAACACUAAAGAAGAUAAGAAAUCUUAGAGAACAUUUUUUUUUGGGGGAAAAAAAAACUCUUAGUGUUUCUUGAUACCAUAUGAAUGUUACUUAUGAAUAAUUCUCUAUUACUGAUAGGAGAAACAUCCAUUGAUAUUUAUGGUGUAGAUAGAACUGAAAGAUUACAUGCCAAUCUAUACAAUCAUAUUAAAAAAAAAUUCAAAUACAGAGACAAUUAGAUUAACUCUCAAGCCUAAUAUUCAAAAUGUUUCACAUGAAGCAAAUUUAUGUUUUCUUCUGUAGAGUCUGUUUGUGUGCAUUACCACCAGCUAUACUUUAUACUGCUUUGGUUGGAAAGUGUAGUUCUAUUAGUGUUUAUUUUUCCUUGUAAUGGCUCUUGUCCUGUUUUGUCCUAUGUGAAGAUACCGUCUAUUUGUUCAUGAAUUUCUCUCAUCUUAUGUUGCAUAAAAAUGUGCCUACUCAAGCCUUUAUUUUCGGAAUUGGUUUCUGGUUCUUUUGUCCUCUUCGCUGCAAAAUUUUUAGCUUUCACUUGAGAGAGCAUGCUUAAGGAUUUAUUCCAAGAAUUGCUGGGUAUUGCUGUGGGAAGAUUAGAUGAAAGUUUCAUCAUUGGUUUCCUUUCCUUGGCAUAAUUUAGGUCAUGCAAAUGACCAUGUGUAUAAGUUUGCUAGAAUGCCUAGCCAAUGUUCAAUUGGCUUGUUAUUAACUUGACCAGAUUAUGAGGUAGAAUACGAGUAAGGUAAUUUGGGAAGGUCUGAACUUAAUGUGGAAUUAUUUUGUUAUCAUGUUAUCAAGAGUUGGAUUCAUGGGUUUCUUUGAAAAACCAUUUCUAAAAAACCACCUGCAGCUCUUAUCUAUGGCUGUGCUUACUUACCAUUUGUAACUUAACUGACCUAAGCUUCUCAUUUACAAUGUGGACUAGUAAUAUCUGACAGUGAUUUUGGAUGACUUGUUGAAAGCUCAAUGUAUACAAUGGAACAUGAACAUCAUAGGCUUAUGAAACUAUCCGUAAAAUCCUCUGAUUUCAAAAAAUGACAUGAUCAUAGAUAGGAGUUCAUGAGGAACAUAUGAUGUUGCCAUACAUGAUGUUAUCAUAGAUAGGAAUUCAUCUGUAAAUAGGAAUUGAGUCUUGUGAGGCUGCCACUAUGUACAGGCAGAUAGGGAUUCAUGCAAUUAGUUGGCUGCCUUGCAAUGGGCAUUGCUUUCUAAAGCUCUUUUCUGCAUUGUGACUGUUUAACUAUGUUUAUAGAUAUUCUUAUGAGGUUUAGUUUCCGCUUGGUUUUCUGAAGUUGCUUUGUCUUUUCUCCUUCUUCUUAUUCUUCUUCUCUUUUAAGCUAUUACAUUCACCAAAUGGAGCCUUAGCAGAACUUUUCUUUGCAUACAAAUUAAUUUCAUGAUAUUGCAUUUUGCCUUGAUAUAUGUUUCCUGAUAUGCGAGCAACUAAAAGUAUUUCUUUCUUGUAUGCUGCUUCAGCUGUCAGACUUAUGAAGGUGG
rnacentral:misc_RNA from 1 species